GGGCGCGUGGUGUAGUUGGUUAUCACGCUCGCUUAGCAUUAUUCAGGUCAUGAGCCUCAUGCGAGAGGUGUCGGGUUCAAUUCCCAACGCGUCCA